rnacentral:pre_miRNA from 1 species
GUACUACUCCCUCUGUCCGGAAAUACUCGUCAGAGAAAUGCAUAAAAAUGGAUGUAUCUAAAAUUAAAAUACAUCUAGAUACAUCCACUUCUCCGACAAGUAUUUCCGGAUGGAGGAAGUACAUG